UACGUAGGGAGCAAGCGUUGUCCGGAAUCAUUGGGCGUAAAGCGCGCGUAGGUGGUCCCGUAAGUCCGCUGUGAAAGUCAAAGGCUCAACCUUUGAAAGCCGGUGGAUACUGUGGGACUAGAGUACGGAAGAGGCGAGUGGAAUUCCUGGUGUAGCGGUGGAAUGCGCAGAUAUCAGGAGGAACACCAAUAGCGAAGGCAGCUCGCUGGGACGUUACUGACACUGAGGCGCGAAAGCGUGGGGAGCGAACAGGG
rnacentral:rRNA from 1 species